AUAAUACCUAGUGUUCUGUUUUUAUCAGCUGAGUCAGCAGUGAGAUACAAUUUCAACUCUUUGACAGAAAAAGGUCCACAUGCUGAAUAUCACAGGCUCCCAGGAGUUUAAUGAGGAAUGUUUCAAUUAUAAAGGCAUUUUUUCACCUGAUCAACCGUCUGUCUAAUUAAUCUCUUGGGAAGCUGCGAUGUUCAGCAUGUGGACUACCUCUCUCUCUACCAUACGCUGCUUUGCUGCUGCACCUGUACCCACCUGGGGUUGGACGUG